rnacentral:rRNA from 1 species
CCUACGGGAGGCAGCAGUGAGGAAUAUUGGUCAAUGGACGAGAGUCUGAACCAGCCAAGUAGCGUGAAGGAUGACUGCCCUAUGGGUUUUAAACUUCUUUUAUAUGGGAAUAAAAUGUUCCACGUGUGGGAUUUUGUAUGUACCAUAUGAAUAAGGAUCGGCUAACUCCAUUCCAGCAGCCGCGGUAAUACGGAGGAUCCGCGCGUUAUCCGGAUUUAUUGGGUUUAAAGGAAGCGUAGGUGGAUUGUUAAGUCAGUUGUGAAAGUUUGCGGCUCAACCGUAAAAUUGCAGUUGAAACUGGCAGUCUUGAGUACAGUAGAGGUGGGCGGAAUUCGUGGUGUAGCGGUGAAAUGCUUAGAGAUAACGAAGAACUCCGAUUGCGAAGGCAGCUCACUGGACUGCAACUGACACUGAGGCUCGAAAGUGUGGGUAUCAAACAGGAUUAGAUACCCCUGUAGUC